rnacentral:rRNA from 1 species
CCCGCACAAGCGGUGGAGUAUGUGGUUUAAUUCGAUGCAACGCGAAGAACCUUACCUAGGUUUGACAUCCGGAAGACCUUCCCGAAAAGGAAGGGUGCCCUUCGGGGAAUUCCGAGACAGGUGCUGCAUGGCUGUCGUCAGCUCGUGCCGUGAGGUGUUGGGUUAAGUCCCGCAACGAGCGCAACCCUAUUGCCAGUUGCUACCAGGUAAUGCUGGGCACUCUGGUGAGACUGCCCCGGUUAACGGGGAGGAAGGUGGGGACGACGUCAAGUCAUCAUGGCCCUUACGCCUAGGGCUACACACGUACUACAAUGGCGCAUACAAAGGGCAGCGAUACCGCGAGGUGGAGCCAAUCCCAAAAAGUGCGUCCCAGUCCGGAUUGCAGUCUGCAACUCGACUGCAUGAAGUUGGAAUCGCUAGUAAUUCGAGAUCAGCAUGCUCGGGUGAAUGCGUUCCCGGGCCUU